AUGAACGCUAGCUACAGGCUUAACACAUGCAAGUCGAGGGGCAUCAGGAAGAAAGCUUGCUUUCUUUGCUGGCGACCGGCGCACGGGUGAGUAACACGUAUCCAACCUGCCCUUUACUCGGGGAUAGCCUUUCGAAAGAAAGAUUAAUACCCGAUGGCAUAAUGAUUCCGCAUGGUUUCAUUAUUAAAGGAUUCCGGUAAAGGAUGGGGAUGCGUUCCAUUAGGUUGUUGGUGAGGUAACGGCUCACCAAGCCUUCGAUGGAUAGGGGUUCUGAGAGGAAGGUCCCCCACAUUGGAACUGAGACACGGUCCAAACUCCUACGGGAGGCAGCAGUGAGGAAUAUUGGUCAAUGGGCGCUAGCCUGAACCAGCCAAGUAGCGUGAAGGAUGAAGGCUCUAUGGGUCGUAAACUUCUUUUAUAUAAGAAUAAAGUGCAGUAUGUAUACUGUUUUGUAUGUAUUAUAUGAAUAAGGAUCGGCUAACUCCGUGCCAGCAGCCGCGGUAAUACGGAGGAUCCGAGCGUUAUCCGGAUUUAUUGGGUUUAAAGGGAGCGUAGGUGGACUGGUAAGUCAGUUGUGAAAGUUUGCGGCUCAACCGUAAAAUUGCAGUUGAUACUGUCAGUCUUGAGUACAGUAGAGGUGGGCGGAAUUCGUGGUGUAGCGGUGAAAUGCUUAGAUAUCACGAAGAACUCCGAUUGCGAAGGCAGCUCACUGGACUGCAACUGACACUGAUGCUCGAAAGUGUGGGUAUCAAACAGGAUUAGAUACCCUGGUAGUCCGCGCGGUAAACGAUGGAUGCCCGCCGUUGGGUUUUAGAAUUCAGCGGCCAAGCGAAAGCGUUAAGCAUCCCACCUGGGGAGUACGCCGGCAACGGUGAAACUCAAAGGAAUUGACGGGGGCCCGCACAAGCGGAGGAACAUGUGGUUUAAUUCGAUGAUACGCGAGGAACCUUACCCGGGCUUAAAUUGCAGUGGAAUGAUGUGGAAACAUGUCAGUGAGCAAUCACCGCUGUGAAGGUGCUGCAUGGUUGUCGUCAGCUCGUGCCGUGAGGUGUCGGCUUAAGUGCCAUAACGAGCGCAACCCUUAUCUUUAGUUACUAACAGGUCAUGCUGAGGACUCUAGAGAGACUGCCGUCGUAAGAUGUGAGGAAGGUGGGGAUGACGUCAAAUCAGCACGGCCCUUACGUCCGGGGCUACACACGUGUUACAAUGGGGGGUACAGAAGGCAGCUAGCGGGUGACCGUAUGCUAAUCCCAAAAUCCUCUCUCAGUUCGGAUCGAAGUCUGCAACCCGACUUCGUGAAGCUGGAUUCGCUAGUAAUCGCGCAUCAGCCACGGCGCGGUGAAUACGUUCCCGGGCCUUGUACACACCGCCCGUCAAGCCAUGGGAGCCGGGGGUACCUGAAGUACGUAACCGCAAGGAUCGUCCUAGGGUAAAACUGGUGACUGGGGCU
rnacentral:rRNA from 1 species